CCAAAUUGACUUAUAGAAUGGGGUGAAAUCAUACUGAUAGUACUCGCCCAAUAUUGGCUUAAAUGCUUUGGUGGCUUCUACCGCAUGGUAAUGUGGCAUUUUCGGGAAGAGAUGGUGCGCUACAUGAGUAUUCGGCUGCUGAUGAAACACCGUGUUGAGAAAUCCGAAAUCUCUAUCGAUGGUAGCCAUGGAUCCCUUUAGCCAUUCCCACUCGGAGUGAUCAUAGUAAGUUACGAGAGGGUUCGUGUGUUGAAGUACGGCCACUAUGAUAAGCAUAGCAUUUGUGAAUAGGUAUGGACCUCCGUAGAUGAAAGCGACCCAUGCGAACCCUUUUAGCAAAGCAAGUUUGUACAGUGCAAAGAUGACGGCCAAACACCCAGCAUCGGAAAGCAGGACAUGAGCGCGUUGCUUGUAUGAAAACAUUGGACUAUACGGAUCAAAAUGGGAGGCGAAUCGAUCGUAAAUUCGACCACGGAAGUUGACAAGAAGGUAUAGAGGCACGGCAACAACUAGAACAGCACCAACAACAAAGAAUUUCGCCACAGGGUUUUUGAGGUAUCUGAACAUCAAGGGAACUUGGGACUUGAGCAGUGGGAUAUCAAAUUCCUCUUCUUCUAGGGAUCCAGUUCUCGAGUGAUGGCGAUGGUGGCUGUACUUAAAUGAAAAGUAAGGAAACAGAACGACAGAGUGGGUGAUGAAUCCGACUGUGUCGUCGAGCCAUUGGUACUCACUGAAAGCGUUGUGUCCGCAUUCGUGACCUAUGACCCAAAAUCGGGCUAGUAUACAGCCUUGAAGCAAUGAAUAUAUGAUCCCAGAAGUAACAAGAUAGAGUUUAGAAGACUGAAUCAAUUCAGAGGUUAAGAUAUAGUUUGCGGCGAUGUGGUAAAGAGAGAAUAAGAUGACGACAUCUAAGACAAGGUAUGACAAAGAGCGAAUCGCCGAACGCUCAAAACAGUGAGGCGGAACUGCUUUCUUAACAUCACUUAAAGUGAAUGGAGGUUUAACGUAAGGAGAUCUUGAUGUUCUUUUGAUGGCAGUGUUCAACUUUUGCUCCAUGUUUCUGCAAGGAUUCAGAAUUAAUUAGCUUCUAAACACUUGAAAAUUAAAUACAGUUAACAUACAAUUUAGAGAUACAAGAAUAGUUUACCUUGCUCCAGUGCCUUGACUUGCGAAUCUUAAUUGUUGUGGCAAUUGUGUACAAAAUGGCUGGUAUAUAUAGGCACUUCGCACUUUCAAAUCCCCAGCCGGUCAAAGCCCCCUUUAUCCUAGUUGAAAUAUUAGGAGUGCCAUGUUCUAGAUGUCCUCGUAAGAAUAAAAAACAAUAAUCAAUACAUAAAAUUAUUUUCUCUAAUAUUUAACUUCCAAAUGGCAUUUCUUUAUGCAAGUAAAAUGUGUCCUAUUAUGAGGUGGCCAAUCAUAUUUUAGUCCUUGGUUUUCUACUGUUGAAACUUGAAAGUAUACAUACACAGGCGGCUUUUCACUCACGUAAGAGAGUAGGAGAACCUACUUACAACUAUACAAGCGAAACGUAAUUUUAAUUUAUGUGUUUAUAUAUUUUUCGAAAAGUAAUAAUUUAUAUUGUAUAAAUAUUUUAAUAAUAUAAUAAUAAAUUGAUUGUGUACGUAAUUGUAAAGUUUAAUUUUCAAAAAUGAAAAAGAAACGGAAAAAAAUUAAAAUUUGUAAUUUUUAAGAUUCUGACUUAUAAAUCAAAAUAUAAUUUAUAAUUUUUUUAUUGCACAAAUACUACGUACGAAUGAGCUUAAUACAGAAACUCGAGAAAUAAUCAAUACCCAAGUAUACAUGUAAAACAUACAUGUAGUAUCAUUUACAUGUGAUUGAUAUAAAAUAGGCUCAAUUAUAUCCUAUAAGAAACAAGGUUAAGAUUUAUUUUAUUUAAAAACAACAGACGCCUCUAUGAUUAACGGAAUAUUUGAGGGACUCGUUUCCUCGAAGGCAAGAUAGAAUUAAAUAUUCAAGCCAUCACUUAUAUGCCGAAUACCCACAGCAUAUGUGUGGAACAACGGACCGAGACAGAUGUGCAUCACGUUUUAUAUGGUUAAAUUAUCUGCACGCAUAUAAAUUAUCUUAAAUUAAGUGUAGCAUGUGUUGUUUUAGACUUAAAAGAACAACAAAUCACAAGGAUCACGGUAUACGAACUACACUAAAUGUAAAAUACUUGUCAUCUAUUUUAAGCCUAGCUAAUAGACCCUAUCUUUCGACUGGUCUCACGUAAUCCUAUGAUAGUCAUAACUGGCAACGGUAAUUUAAUGAUAUUGGAAUACAGAUUAGAUAGAAAAAUAAUAUAUAUAUAUAUAUAUAUAUAUAUAUAUAUAGGAGGAAGAUCCUAAGAAAACCUAGCUUAUCAGAAAACCCAGCUUAUCAAGAAAACCGAGAAACCCACUUAAUCACCGUUGAUUUUAUAAUCAUAAUAUAUAUUUUAAUUUAUCAAAAGAUCAAUCAAAUCUAAUUCAUAAGGGAUAUUAUGGUAAUAUUCUACAUAUAUUUAAUGCAUUCAAUCAGUAAUAUAUUUAAUGCAUUUAAUCAGUACAUUCAAUAAAGAUUUGCAAUUAAUUGAUUUCCUUUUUUAUAUUAUUCAUAUCUCAAUCAAUCAAUCAGUAUUAAAUUUGAAUUUCAAAUUUCAAAAGAUUCACCUUGCUAAAAACUGAUCGAAUAUCUUAGAGAAUCUUGUUUAUAUAUUUUGCGUUAUCUUGUGUAUGAUAAUAAAUCUCUUACCAUUGUUAUAACGGAUCAUCUAAUAAUUUUUUUUAUUACGGUCUUUUAAGUGUUUUACUAAUAAAUAUAAUAUUUUCCUAAGAUUCUCUUAAGUGCUCUAUUAAUUUAAAAUAAUUUUUUUCCCAGGAUUCUUUCAAGUGUUUUACUCAGUUAAAUAUAUUUACGAUUUUCUAAGAUUCUUUUAAGUGUUUUACUAAUUUAAAUUGAAUAUUUAAAAUAAUUUUUUUCUAAGAUUCUUUCAAGUGUUUUACUCAUUUAAAUCUAUUUAAGAUUUUUCUGAGAUUCUUUUAAGUGUUUUACUAAUUUAAAUUGAAUAUUUUUUUAAGAUUUUCAUAAGUUUUUUACUAAUUUAAAAAUAUUUAAGAUUUUUCAAGAUUCUCUUAAGUGUUUUAUUGAUUUAAAAUUAUUUAAGAUUUUCUAUGAUUCUCUUAAGUGCUCUAAUAAUUUAAAAUAAAUUUUUUUCUAAGAUUUUCUAAGAUUCUUUUAAGUGCUCUAAUUGGAAUCUUGAAAUGUUAUAAUAUUAAUAUUACAUAUUAAUUAAAAAUUGCAUACAAUGACUUAAGUUCUUUAAUUAUCUUUUUCUUUAAAUAUAAAAUUUAAAUAUUGAAACAAUACUUUAGAGAACCCUCAUUUGAAAAAUAUUUGAACGGGUAUCGUAAAGAAUCUAGUAGGUGUAUAAGUGAACAUCUACUAGAAUCUCAACAUACUGUUAUGAGAUUGAUGAUGUAAGUAAAAUUAUAACUAAAUUGGAAGUUGUUAUGUGUUCGGUUUGUUGAUGAUAUAUGAUUUAUUAUGUGCACUUUUUAAAUAAAUCAUAAUUUAAAUUAACACAUUUUAUUUAAUUAAGUGAUAAGUAUUAAGAUUCUAAUAAUUAAUAUUAAAAAUUUAUAAAAAAAUUGUAUACAAUGACUUAAGUUCUUUAAUUAUUUUUUACUUUUAAUAUAAAAUUUAAAUAUUGAAAAAACAUUUUGAAGAACCUUCAUUUGAAAAAUAUUUGAACGGGUAUUGUAAGAAAUCUCUUCAUUUACUAUAUAUUAUAAUAGUUGUUUUAAUUCAACUUUGUAAAUAAAUUUUUUAAAAAUUCUACCUUAUAUUAUUCUAUUAUAUUUGAGCGAAUAUUUUAAAGUAAUAUAAAUUUAUUAUAAUAUCAGUUUAAAGAUUCUACUAUAUAUUAUUCUACAAAUUUGAGUGAAUGUUUAUUGGACUCUCAUGAUAUUAUAAUAUGUCAAUUCAAUUAAGUGUUCAAGUGUAUUUUAAUAUUUGUUAUUUUGUUAUACAAGCGAACAUUUUAAAGAAUCUCCAUAUCAAAAAAUGGUAUCUUUAAUAAAAUCAUAAUCUAAUUAUACUUUCUAAUAUAUCAUAAAACUAAUUAGUAAUUAAAUGUUAAUUUAAUCGUUGAGCAAAAAAUUUGAUAAUGAAAUAUUUUAGAGUGAUGUAUAGAUGAACAUCUACUAGAAUCUCAAUAUUCAAUUCAACAUACUAUAAUGAGAUUGAUUUAAGUAAAAUUAUAACUACACUUGAAGUUAUUAGGUGUUCGUUUGUCGAUCAUAUAUGAUUUUAUUAUGUGUUCUUUUUAAACUAUUCAAUCAACUAAAUUUCAAAAAAUUUAAUUUUAAACACCUAACAUAAUCGUAAGAAAUGUAUUAUUAGAAACAUAUUUUUUAUAAUCAAGUAGAAUGAAUUUAAAAAAAAAAACAUAACGUUAAUGGUAUAGCGGCACCUUGUAUAUAUGAAUUUUAUCAGAAAAAAAGAAUGUGCAAAGAGAGAACUUCUUUCAAAAAAUCACAAAGAACACACUCAAAUAAGGAACAUCUACUACAAACUAACAAAGAAUACAAAUAUAAAUUCUCCAUUAUUGGAGAAAAUAAAAAAAAUCUAAACAAAACUAGACAAAUAAAACAAAUCAGCCCCCCGCCUCUACCAAACAAAACUUACCAACAAAUAAAGGAAUUCUUAGAAUAUGUACUGGAACCUUGUGUUGUUCUGUAAAACAACUCUGAUUAGAAUACUGAACAUAAUAUUGAUUAGAAUUCUUACAAAGAUCUAAACUGAAUGCAUUAGUAAUGAACACCAACUGAAGCAUGUGCGAAAUACAACUAUACACACAAUAUCAACUUCAACAAUCAACUAUACUAUAAUGAAUCUCUUAUAGAACACUAACCAAACAAGGAGAAUCUUCAAACUUAAGAAUAUGACAGAAUCUUCAAAUUGAGAUAAGGUGUUCUGGAUCCCUGAUUAGAAUAUUGGUGAGGACAAUAAGAAAGUUCAAUCUAAAUUUCAAGCCAACAUCCGUAUACUCUCUAUUGUAAGAAUUCUCAAACAUUAACUCCCCGUUCGGCAAACCAAGUACAUUCUAGACAUCAUCUUCUUAAAAGUUUAUAAUAUUCUCACCAAUUGAAAUUGUUGAAUCGAUUGGUUUGUACGACUUUGGAAUCGAAAAACUCAGAAGUUGAGGGUAUUCCAUGAUGUUGAAAAGUAGAAGCUUUUCGAAUCCGAUUUCCACAACCCAUUGUCUUUUGUGCAUCGGAAAGAUUCCCCACGAUUCUCUUUUAAGAAAAUAGGUUUUACUCGUACCAACAAAUGACCGGUGUUCUUAUGGAGAUUCUUCUCCGCCAUUAUAUCUCUGAAAAGGAUUAUAUGGUUCUAGAGAUUAUACAAAAGUCAUAACAGAUAAAUUUUAUGAAAAAGUUUUAAGAUCCAUGAGGAGGAUACGUGGUACAAACCUUCAAACGAUGAAUCAUGGUGUUUUCAACCACGGCGGUCUCUUUCUUACAAUUGCAGAGAUUCUUAUUAGAGGAUAAUAUAUGUAUGUAAUGAUUCUAGAUUAUUUGUGUGCUUUGAUUGGAUUUUAUUAGAUGCCAAAAAUAGAAGAUUUUUAAUUAAUCAAUGACAGAUUCUUUACAAUUUUGCCCCCGUGUGUGUUAGAUUAUAGAUAUAUUUGAUUGAUUUUAAUUUUAGAAAUAGUUAUAUAUGAGAAAAAUAAUCAACGGUAUCUAAGAGGGUUCCUCGGUUUUCUUGAUAAGAGAGUUUUCUCUGGAACCUCACUCGAUAUAUAUAUAUAUACUUGUAUAUAUAUAUUGGCGCAAGAUGACUAUUCAAGUAACCAUGGUUAGUUUAUGAAAGCCUAUAAAUAUGUGAUUGUGGUUCUCACAAUUAACAUCAUCCUUCGGGAUGGAUGAGGGUCAGGUUCCAGACAGAACCGCUUAAACUUAGAACCUUAGAACCACAUUAAUAGUCAUUAAAUGAAAGUAAUUUUAAUGUAUGAAAUUAAACAUAUGAAUUGUUUUAAUAUGGUACAUAUUUAAAUAUACAUGCCUUCAAUUAAUGCACAUUCUUAAUUUAUAUUUGAUCAUUUUGCAAUAAAAAUACAUUCAAUAUUUAAUUCACAUAUCUCAGUAAAAUACAAAGAGUUCGAAUGUGUAUGUUUUGAUAUCUUAUUAUUAUUUAUAUGUACUGCUACAGAAUUUUGUAUUUUGUAAUAUUAUAUGAGCUAGAUAUGUACUGUACCAGAAUAUCGUGUUGUAUAAUAUUAUAUAAGCUAGAUAUGUACUGCAGCAGAAUCUUGUGUUUUGUAAUAUAUUUUAGUUAGAUAUGUACUACAACAUAAUCUUGUUUUUUGUAAUAUUACAUGUACUGCAGCAGAAUCUUGUGUUUUGUAAUAUAUUUUAGUUAGAUAUGUACUGCAACAACAUCUCAUUUUUGUAAUAUUACAUGUAUUGCAACAGAAUCUCGUGUUUUACAAUAUUAUAUUAUUAAAAUUGAUUGAGAAUCACAAGUUGUAGAUUUGAUUUGCAUUUAUAACAAAGUGCAUAUAUAUUAACUGAUUAUUAUAAUGAGUAGGUAGCAUUUAAUGAUUAUUAUGAUUUGUAAUAAUGAUUUACAUAUAAGAUAAGGUAUAUUAAAUAGUAUUAAGUUGUAAUUAAUAUAAUAUAGCUAGGCACAUCAUGACCAUUGAAUUCAUAUUGAUCUAAUGGAUGUGUGUGGUCCUAAGUUCUAAUUUUAAUAUUGGUUCUAAUUUGAACCUCACCCUUUAAAUUCUAUAUUUAUAUAUAACAAACAUUUAAUAACAUAUAACAUAUAUAUAUAUAUAUAUAUAUAUAUAUAUAUAAUAUUAGAAGUCCACUUACUUAAGAAUUAUAAUUUUCGCUCUAUUAUUAGUAUUUGGUUUAGCUUAGUCUUUUGAAAUGAACAGUUCAUUCUUUUAAAAAUGAUAUAGCACUCAUGAAUUAGCUGAAAUAUUAUAUACUUGUUGGGCCGCGCAACACCCGUCAACUCCGCAUUAGUAUGAUAUUGUCCGCUCUGGGCCGUGGCCAAGCCCGCACGGAUUUGCUUUCGGGCUCCUCCCAAAAGGUCUCAUACUAAUGGAGUUCUUUGGCUGCUUAUAUUCAAGAUAAAUCUUCUUUAUCUUUCCGAUGUGGGACUUGGGUUGAACCCACUCAACAAUCUCCCCUCAAUCCAAGAACCACCAAUCUUGUGACCCUUAUACCGCCGCUCCUCAUCGGUUCCUCAUCUUGCGGGACACGCCGUCCGACCACCUUUGUCGGAAAGACUUUCGACACAAGCCGUCCAAGACCUCCAAUCGCAGUUCUGGAGAGCCUCCCCCACAUGACACAACUACAGCCCGCAACCCCGGGAUCAACUUAUGAACCUCGCUCUGAUACCACUUGUUGGGCCGCGCAACACCCAUUAACUCCGCAUUAGUAUGAUAUUGUCCGCUUUGGGCUGUGGCCAAACCCGCACGGAUUUGCUUUCGGGCUCCUCCCAAAAAGCCUCAUACUAAUGGAGUUCUUUGGCUGCUUAUAUUCAAGAUAAAUCUUCUAUAUCUUUCCGAUGUGGCACUUGGGUUGAACCCACUCAACAAUAAUUCUCUUUCGCAUUAAUUUUCAAUCUCGUAUCCUUUUACUUCAUUGUCGUUUUUCAUUUCAACUGGUGAUCUCAAAUAUAUGUGAUUCAGAAAUAAAUAAUAGUCAGUAUAUAGUAUUGCUUUUCCUAAACCGUUCUAAAUACUUGCACAUUUUUUCAACAUUAUAAUCAUUAUUUUUUAUCAUGCUUGCUUUGCUUUCUAGAAUGUCGAAUGUAAGGUAACGUGACAGUCUAGUACUAUCGAAUGUCACGAACAACAAUCGAGAGCGCAAGGACUUGACGAUAUGACCAAUAUUAUAAGAUGUCCGCCACGUUCAGUUGCUUGACGAGAACUGAAUAUAUAUUUUAAAUAAAUCCGUUUUUCUUUGUUUAUGACUGAAUUAUUGCAGUAUUCUUUUAGACGACAGAGGCCCAUAAACUUGACUUGGACCGUUCAAAUUAACUAUAAGAUUCAAGAGAUAUUCUUGAUAUACUCCCUCUGUCCCUCUCAUUUCUUUACGGUUAUUUUGGGAUGUCCCUCUCAUUUCUUUACGUUAUUAUAAAUAAUAAGUUUUUCUCAUCAUUACACCCACUAUCUUCCUCUACUAUCUCAUAUUUAACAAUAAAAACUACUAUUACACCCACUACUUUCCUCCAUUAUCUCAAAUCUAUUAUUAAAUAUUGAUAGGUCCCACCACUUUACCCACUUUUCAUCUAACUUUACUCAUUUUUUAUACAUUGUCUUGGUCUCCGUGUUUUCCUCCAAUGUAAACAAUUGAAGGGGACGGAGGGAGUAUAUAAAUAAUUAUAUACUCUACGAAUUUUGUUUUUUAUAACAUGAUUUAAACAACAUGUUACUAUCGAAUGACAUGAACAACUGUAUAAAAUGCAGGACUUCCAAAAUUGAACGACUUUUUUGUCAAGUCAACAAUUGAAGGGUUAUUUCUAUCAUUAAAUAAUAAAUCCAAAAGAUUAUGUGGGUGUUUGGCAAACUCAACUUAUUGCUUAUUUGGAAGAGAAGUUGUUUCAACUUAUUUAUGUAGUGUUUGGCAAACACGUCGAAGUACUUAAAAUGGGGCUUAAAAGCCCCGAAAAAAAAGCUAGGAAACCUAGCUUUUUUUGGGUUUGAAGCUUAUUAUAGCAAAAUAAGUCACGAGUAUCCAAACACUUUUAAUAACUUAAAAGUUCAAACCAACUUUUCACUUAUAAUACACUUCUUUACUUUAAGCAAUAAGUCACUUCUUUUAAGUUUAGCCAAACGGCCCCUAUAACGCAUCCAUUGAAAGUCUGCAUAGUGCAUACACUUUUUUAUCCGUUAAGUAACAAAACUUCACAAUUUAAAUAAUAAAAUAUUAUCUGCUCAAAAUUUAUCGGUCAGCCAUUCAAAGUUAAUUUCACAACCAAGUAACGUAAGUAAUCGUCCUCACUAUUUACAAACACUCAGCUGAGACAUUCCCAGAUCCGGUAAAAUUGUCCUGAUUCGAGAAGCACACAUGAAAUAUAUGAUUUUAAAAAUCGUGUUUAUAAUCGAAUCAAAUAAUUAGAAAAUUUGUGACAAAAUAUAUAUUUUGAAAAUUAAUUAAUUAAUCCUGUCAAUAUGAUUUGAAACAAUAUCUUACCCAACAUGUCUAUAGAAUUGCAGGACAACUUAGAGCAUCUCUAUAUUCAGCUAAAUUUGAUUCAUAGAAUUAAGACAUUCCGUUUUAAUGAUAUAUUGAUUGAGUAUAUUUUAAAAUUAAUAUAUUAUUAAUAUUUUAAAUUAUUAUAAAUAAAAUAUUUCAUUUCAAUAUGGUAAUAAUCGACAUGAAACUUUCAUACUCAUUUCUUACAAAUAUGUAGAUAUUCGACAAAUAUAACCAAUAUUCGAAAGUUGAUUAUAUUUAUCGACAAGAAGAAUGUACAUUGGAGCUGAAUUUUUUUAUACAUAAUCUCUAUAUUUUUUAUUUAUACCAUGUAUUAGUGAUUUUUAAUGAAGGAUUCUACGUGAUUCAAGAUGUUCUUAAGUGGUUGUGCGGUAUUCCUACACACACACAUAACUGAUUUUUUUUUUUUUUUUUUUUUUUUUUUUUUNNNNNNNNNNNNNNNNNNNNNNNNNNNNNNNNNNNNNNNNNNNNNNNNNNNNNNNNNNNNNNNNNNNNNNNNNNGAUUUGUGAUCCAAUUGAAAGCUUUUUGAGUUGGAUGACCCAAGUGAAAAUUACUAUCGAGUUGAGUGACCUAAUUGCCAUUUAACCCGAAAAUAAAACAAGAGAAACAAAAAGAAUAUAAGUCGAUAUAUUUAACAGAUUACAUCAAAAUAUUCCCACAAUCAUGAUAACUCAUGAUUGAGACAAUUAAGCUCUUAAUUAAGGCAUCAUAAUAAAAUAUUAAUAUCCUUAAUUAAGACACAAUUAACGCCCUCAAAUAAGGCCCAAUUAACGCCCUCAAUAAAUAGGCACAAUUUACGCCCUCAAUAAUUGAGGCACAAUUUACGCCCUCAAUAAAGAGGCAUAAUUAACGAGGCACAAUUACCGCCCUCAAUUAAGACACAAUCAACGCACUUUCCUUUCUGAAACCGGAUCCGGAUCCCGUUCUGAAACCGCCGUCACCGCCACCAUCGGCCACCACCACUAUGCUAUCAAUCAAGGUGCCUCGUCGUAUGCGAAGCGAACAACGAAGCGUAUCACAUGUAACAUGAAAAAUCGCCAAAAACACCAAAAACCAAACGAAACACAGGGAUUAAACAAACAAACAAAUACACACAAACAAAUAAGAUUAAAAUCAACACCUUUCGUAAUUCCACUCAAAAUCGGCUAUAUGAAUAUUGAUAUGGAUAAAAAUAGAGAAGCAGAAGGAGAAAUGAAAAGCAGAGAAUGAAUGAAGAAAUUAAAGAACAAACCUUCUGCAUAAAUUGUAUGGUUAAAAUAGAGGAAGAAGCAUGGCGAUUCAUGUCACCAUCUUUUACAGGUAGAGAGAGUCCUUCACGGUGUCCAUUUGUGCUUCCUUCUGCCAUCGCUCUUGUUUCUCUUUGUUAAAUUUAGAUGUAUUCGCCCUUGAUAAGGGUAAAAUGAUCCAAAAGUCUCAGUUGCUCAGAUGAUUAUAUUUUUUCCGGUAGCAGUUGUUAAUUACCAAGUUCACGUAUAUAAGCACACUGAUAUACUAUAGAACAUGUAAAUAUACAUUCUUUUAUGCAUUAAGAGCAGAUCAUGUACGAGAAUUGCUUAGUAGAGAGUUGUUUAAAUUAACACCGACACACAAGGGGAUUCUAUAUUGAUCAUAUGCGUAAUGAUGCUAUUAUUUACAAAUAACCACGAGGUAAGCUCCUUUCUCUCUUCUUAGAAAUUGUUGUCUUUCUUUUUGCGAUGUGAUAUUUCAACCAAAUUACGAACAUUGUUGGGCUAUUGAGCACACAAGGAAAGUAAAGCAUUUUGGAAAAAAUAUGAUACUACUUCCAAAAGCACUUAAACAAGGAAAAAAGAACUUUUUUCACACAUAACUGAUUUGUUUGACAAUUAGAGCAUUUUCAAUUGGGUUAGUUAAAAUUGGUUGGCUAAAUGAGAUAUAUAAGAUAUUGUGUAAAAUUAAAAUUUGUUGAACCCAUAAAACAUUAUACUUCAAUGAUAAUGGCUGUAUUGAUUAGUUAUAUUUUGAAAAUAGUAUAUUAAUAAUAUUUUAGAUUGUUAUAAAUAAAAUAUAUCACUUCAAUUUCGUUAUAAAAUGGAUUUUUGUAAAAAAUUUCUCAUAGUUCUGUAGAGAUUGGACAAAUAUAACCAAUUAUAAAGAGAUUGAUAAUAUUCAUAGAUAAAGAAAAUGUUUGAGUGGUUUCAACCCAAGUCUCACGUCGGAAAGAUAAAGAAGAUUUUUCUUUAAUAUAAUCAGUUAAAGAGCUCUAUUGAGAGGCCUUUUUAAAGGAGCUCGAAAGCAAAUCUGUGCGGGUUUGGCAACGGCUCAGAGGCACAAUAUCAUAUUAAUGCGGAGUUAACAGGUGCAAUAUCAUAUUAAUGCGGAGUUAACAGGUGCUGCGCGACCCAACAAGUGGUAUGCGGGCAAGGUUAAGAAGUUGAGCCUGGAAUUUAUUUUAUUUUUAUGAUUUAUUCGACAAUCGUCAGAUUUGACAUUCAAAUGAUUAGCUCAUCAAAUAUUUAUUUAUUUAUUUAUUAUUAUUAUUAUUAUUAUUCUGAUAAUUUAAAAAUCAUUUAUAUAAUAAAAACAUUCAAACUAAUAAUAUAAAUUAUACAAUUAUCAUAUUAAACAAUUAUAAGACAUAUUUGGUUAUUUUAACUUUAGGCUUUAGCCAAACCUGCUCUAUGACUGACAUCCAUGAAAGAUAUACAUGUAGCAAACAAAAUCACAUCAUCCUCACAUUCAUCUGCUCCGAUCUCCGGAUGAAUUACAUUUUUCUUGAUUUAAGUAUAUAUUAUUCCCUCCACCCCUCAUUUGUUUACAUUGAGGGACGGGAGCUCGGUACGCAUUUUAAUACUCUCUUAAAACGUAGUUAGAUAAAUUAUUUUGAACUUUUUUCCCUUCUCAAUAAAAAUUUGAUGUCUAAAUUUUUAUAAAAAAAAGAAAAAUUUUAAAAAUAAGUUACAAAACUAUAUUUUACCUGCGCCUUAAAAUGCAUGUCGAUCGGUGUGAAAAAACGGUAAAGAGACCGGAUUUAAUUUAUAACAGCAAUCACAGUACAACGUAAGAGAACUGAAACAUGAACAGAAACCAACUUAAAGCAUUACACAGUACCAGACGACACUCAGAUUUGAGCAUUUUUACUCAAAACUUAUUGUUAUACCAAUAUAUUCCUUUGUUCUUCUCAUCUUCCUCAACGUAGACACAAUCUUUCAGAGUAGUCCACAGUGACUUAUAGAAUGGGGUAAAAUCAUACUGAUAGUAGUCUCCCAACACUGGUUUAAAUGCUUUGGUGGCUUCCACUGCAUGGUAGUGUGGCAUCUUCGGGAAGAGAUGGUGCGCUACGUGAGUAUUCGGUUGCUGAUGAAACACCGUGUUGAGAAUUCCGAAAUCUCUGUCAAUGGUGGCCAUGGAUCCCUUUAGCCAUUCCCACUCGGAGUGAUCAUAGUAAGGUACGAGAGGGUUCGUGUGUUGAAGUACUGCAACUAUGAUAAGCAUAGCGUUUGUGAAAAGGUAAGGUCCUCCGUAGAUGAAAGCAGCCCAUGCGAACCCUUUCAACAUAGCAGCUUUGUAUACUGCAUAGAUGACUGCAAAACAUCCAGCAUCCGAAAGUAAGACGAGAGCCCGUUGUCUUGAUGAAAACAUGGGACUGUAUGGGUCAAAAUGGGAGGCAAAUCGGUCAUAAGUUCGACCACGGAAGUUGACAAGCAAGUAUAGAGGCACCGCUACAACCAAAACUAAGGCAAUAACGAAAAGUCUUGCGACAGGAUUACUGAGGUAUUUAAACACGAAUGAAACUUGAGACUUUAGAAGAGGGAUAUCAAACUCUUCUUCUUCUAGGGAUCCAGUUCGCGAGUGGUGGCGAUGGUGACUGAAUUUGAAAGAGAAGUAAGGAAAGAGGACGACAGAGUGGGUGAUGAAUCCGACUGUGUCGUCGAGCCAUUGGUACUCACUGAAAGCGUUGUGUCCGCAUUCGUGACCUAUGACCCAAAAUCGAGCUAGAAUCAGACCUUGAAGCACCGAAUAUAUAAUCCCGGCUGUAACAAGAUAUAAUUUAGAAGACUGAAAGAAUUCAGAAGCUAAGAUAUAGUUUGCGGCGAUGUGGUAAAGAGAAAAUAAGAUGAUGACAUCGAAGACAAGGUAUGACAAAGAGCGAAUCGCCGAACGCUCAAAGCAAUGAGGCGGAACUGCUUUCUUAACAUCGCUUAGAGUGAAGGGAGGUUUCACGUAAGGAGAUCUCGAAGCUCUUUUCACGGGAGGAUUCGAUUUUUGUACCAUGUUUCUCUGCGAAGAUUGAAGAAGAUAGUAAUUAGUUAAAACGUUUACUUGAUUUGAUAACAACUUAAAAAACAGUAAAUUUAUGAGAAUCGCAGAAGAGUACCUUGGCUUGGAUGCACCUCUGAGAAUUUUGUUGUGACAAUUGCAUAGGAAGCAGUAGGUACAUAUAGGCAGAUCAAAAUUACCAACUCCAGUCCUGAUUGGCUGAUUAAAAUAGAGGUCAGGUGUCUAGCUAGGUUGUCAUAUGUGUUCUGGACGCCCCCUCACGAUGUUACAUUCUCUUUUCAUUCUUCUCUUUCCUAGUUUAAUAAUCCUUUUCAAAAUAUGUGCUCCCUUCGUCUUAUUUUAUCUCAUUACAUAUAUAAUAAAAAAAUCUUUUUCGAUGUCCUAAAAAAAACUAUCUUUUAUAUAAUAUUUAUUUAAGAUAUUCGUUAUAAUCACACGUUCAUAAAUUACCUCGAUCGCUAACUCUUUUACAUGAUUAAGGUUAAGUUAGAUAUUCAUUUUCCUAAAAAUCGUAUCAAUCAUCAAUAUACUUAUAUAAAGGAGAAGCGAGGCGUGUGUAGGUGGCACAUCUCAUAUCGCUCCGUUCUAUUUUUCUAAUUUUCUGCAAUUUUUAGAUGAAAAAUACCAAAAAUUAGAACUACUUUUUUUAGUUUCGGAUUUAUUAGAAGCAAGUUUUAGAAUCUGAUUUUGUUUCAGAUUUUCAGAUUAUUUAUGGAAUAUAGUAGUUUGAAAGUUUUAAUUUGAUUUUAUUUCUAUAUAAUCUGAUUUUGUUUCAGAUUAUUUAUGGAAUAUAGUAGCUUGAAAGUUUUAAUUUGAUUUUGUUUCUAUAUAAAGGAGGAGCGAGGGGUGUGUAGGUGUCGCCUCUCACAUCGCUCCGUUUUAUUUUUCUAAUUUUCUGAAAUUUUCAGAUGAAAAAUAUCAAAAAUUAGAACUGCUUUUUUUAGUUUCGGAUAUAUUAGAAGCAAGUUUCAGAAUCUGAUUUUGUUUCAAAUUAUUUAUGGAAUAUAGCUGCUUGAAAGUUUUAAUCUGAUUUUGUUUCAGAUUAUUUAAUUAUGAGAAAGAGUAGCACACAAGUCUCUCUCUGCACCUAUAAAUACCCCUGUAGGUUGUAGGGCUUUGGAUCAUCUUAACACAACCUUCUCUCUCGGUAUCACAACCCUAACUCUCUCUGGUGAUAGUUCUAUUGCUCGAUUUCUAACUCGGUGUUGCCGUUCUUCUGGUGAAGGCUGUUUAUACAGUAUUAAAAAAAAUAAAGGUUGUUGUAAGCAAAGGUAGUUAUCUACGUGGGAGUCGACAAAUCCAAACACGGGAGAAGAAUAUAGUCUUGACAUGAUAUUGAUGGAUGAUAUCAAUAAAUUAACUAUUAGUGAUGUAUGUUUGUUUGUUAUUCUUUUAUAAAAUUUGUUUUGUUCAUCGGACAUGUUUGUUGUUGUUAAUUUUUUAUAUGAUUUACUUUGCAUACAAGAAAAUAUUAUUCAUGCAUUAUCUGUUUGCUCAGUUCAAACAACUUUUAAGUGAAGACUGUUCAUACAGUAUUAAAAAAUAAAGGUUGUUGCAAGUAAGGGUAGUUAUAGACCGCUAUCGCACGGAUUUAAGUUAGAUGUUUUUGUGCACAAUCAAUCCAAAAAAAUUGGAGGAAGGUGAUAAUGUAAGAACAUGAUUACUUUAAAAAAAAACACAAAUAAAAUUAAGAUUUGUCGUGCUUUAAAUUGUUAAUUACGUGUAGAAAUUUAUUUUCAUAUUUUCAACAUGAAUUAUAGGCCACAAAAUAUAUUAAUAUAUUUUUUAUAUACAGCCACAAAAUUAUUGCAUUCUACAAAUAUUAAUAUUAGAUCGUUAAUAUAAUUUUUAUAGGCCGCCGCAACGCGCGGCUUCUCAACUAGUUAAAAAAGUUGACAAAAACCAACAGGUAAAAGAAGACGAGGCCAAUCUGAAGAAUUUAAAGGCCGAUGCAAAAUGAUCCAACAGGCUUUUCUUCAAAAUAUUAUUAAAAAUAGUAAAACGAAAACUAACUUUUCUUGAAGUUUGAACUUAAAUGCAUCUGACCACGACUAGCAAACAUCAUUUUGCCCCGUUCAAGCACUACAAAAUCAUGAAACUGUCAGAAUAUACAAACUCUAUAUAUUGUUGAAAGAAUACAAUCAAGAAUAUUUUAACGAUUAACUUUGUUCAUUAACUACUCCCUCCGUCUCAAUUUAUAUGACCCUUAUUUUUUUUGGGACGUCUCAAAAAAAAUAAUCCAUCAUAUUUACUAUUUUUGAACACUACUUUUCACUAUUACAUCCACUACUUUCUUCCACUAUUUCAAUUCUAUAAUAAUAUAAACACUAUUAUAUCCACUACCUUCCUCCACUAUCUCAAAUUAUUAUUAAAUAUUGAUAGGUCCCAUCAUUUUACCUACUCUUCAACUAAACUUACUAUUUUUUUUUAAUCUCUGUAAGAGUCAAACCGGCUCACUCAAUAUGGGACGGAUGGAGUAUAAUUGAGACUUUGAUAAACUCACUGUAAUAUUAAAGAAACUAGAUGGUACAAGAUUCUGCGAUGAAACUAGUUGGAAAGAUUUAGGUAUUCUUAGAUUACUUUGAAAGAGUUAACCGCUUUAUUUCAAAUGCAAAGAGUACUUUGUCCAACUUUCUUUCCUUCACAGAUUAACAAUGCAAGGAGAAUUGAUAAUAUCACGAGAACACAAAAUUGAUAACACUAUCUUACACAUAUAUAUUUUUUUUGGAAAAAUUUUUAAAACUGAAUUCCGGGUAUGGAAUAUCCUACUAGACCCAAUAUCAAUGUAUUUUAUAUAUAAUUAAACUUGUAUUUAAAUAUAAAUGUUCACAUUAUCAAGUCCGGUAUAAUCAGAACCACCUAAAAUAGAAUAUAAUAUUAUAAUAAUUGAUAAAAAAAAUUUGUGACAAAUAUACAUAUAAAAAAAGGUUAUUAUUAAUAUUUAGAACAAAACUAAUGUAAAGACUUAAUAUCUGUAAUCAUCUUCCAUAAUUUUUUAAUUCCACGUGUUUGUUAAAAAUAGGCAAUUAAAUUGCAUGUUAUCAUCUUGUUACCCUAAUUUCAUAGUUUAGUCCCCCACUUGUUACUAGCUCCAGUAGCUUCCGUGCACUUAUAUAGGCAAUUUAUUUAUUUAUUUAGAAUGGACCCGGAUAUAUCUUAUAAAUAUAAGUUUAGUUAACCACUUAGAUUGUCCUUUCUCAUGACCCCUUCUCUAAAUACCUCGUUACAUGUUAAGAUCAUUUCUAAAGUAGUAUAGUAUAUAAAUAUUUAACAGAUCGACCAAAUCUGUAUGCACAUGGUGUAAAAAUAUAUUUUAUAAAUUAAUAAAUAUAUAUUACAGUAAAAAUCUCAUUUAAAUAAAAUGCAAAUUACGAAGAUUUAAGCAAAAUUAUAUAGUGGACAUAUAUAAAGCUUGUCGGAAUGGUUUGAGGCACAUGAGUCCAUGACCUUGACCGGCGGUUUUCCUAUAAUUAUUCAACUAACGCAUUUGUUUAUAUAAGAAUAUCUUUUGCAUUUUAAUACAAAUUAAUUAAUAAACAAAAAAAGAUGCUUUAAUAGUAAUUAUAUAUCAUGCGAUUUCGAUGCAUGGUUAAUUAUUAAACUGUCGACUAACUUAGAAUUAUGCAUUUCUGUCAACAGCAGAAUAAUAAAAAAUUGCAAUUAUGAAUUGUUUUGUUCUAAUCGAUAUGCAUGCUUCGAAUAAAUUAUCAGUCGCCCUCAUCUUGGACCUUUGUUUUUGUUUGCAUGUGUCCAAGGGGAAUAAACAUUAUUCUCAGAAUUGAAUACGAGUACAAUACUACACUCACGUUUUCCCAGCUGGGCAGUUGAAACCAGCUUGAACAGAUCCGCAGAAACUAAAUUUUAUUUAGUAAACAGAGGCGGUAAUUCAAACUUCUGCGACUUCCGCCCCUAUUAUAAUCUGCAUCAAAAGCAUAGGUUAAAUUUUUAAAUAGAUUAUUAUAAUUUGUAGAGUUAAUUAUAGUUUGUAACCUCUAAGUUUGCUCCAAACGCAGUUAGUACAUGAACUUUAAAACGUGACAAUAUGCACCGUAAAUUUAACAUUCUCGUCAUCUCGUGCAAGUUGUAACCCCUAGUCACUAUUUUGUCCAACUCUGCCGUUAACUUUAACUGUUUGAGAGAUAGCAGUGUGUAUAUUAGUUUCUAACAGCUACUUUACACCUUGUGACCCCUCAAACUUUAUGUAUUAUAUUUUGAAAUUAUUACUGAACACACACAAUGAUGUAAAAAAAAUUAAAAUAAUUUUUAAAAUAUGUAUUUAUUUUAAAAUUUUAAAAUAAGUUACAUCGUUUAUGUAAAAAAUAAAUAAAUUUUUAGAUUCUAAAUCUAGAUAUAUGUUUUAAAAAUUAUUUUAAAUUUUUUACAUCGUUGUGUGUGUUCAGAAAUAAUUUCAAAAUAUAAUACAUGAUUUUUGAGGGGUCACAGGGGGUAAAGUAGCUAUUAAAAACUAAUAUACACACUGUUAUCUAUCAAACAGUUAAAGUUAACGGCAGAUUUGGACGGAAUAGUGACUAGGGGUUACAACUUGCACCAGAAUGUUAAGUGUAAGAUGCAUAUUGGCACGUUCUAAAGUUCAGGUACUAAACUGCGUUUGGAGCAAACCUAAGGGUUACAAACUGUAAUUAACUUUAAUUUGUAACUCUUAAGUUUGGUUCAUUGACAAAUGAGUACCAAUAUUUUAAAACGUAAUUUUUGACAAUCCAAAAUUCAUAUUGUGUUGCAGUUUGUAACUCUUCCGUUAAUUUUUUUUAUUAAAGUUAGAUAGAGAUGUUAGUUCAAAGACGUUUUCGUACUUAGAUAAUGUAGUUUUUUAUUUUUAUCAAAAAAAUUAUCUAAAUAUGAUUAUAAAUAUUAAAUGAGAAAUUUAUUUAUGGUUUAACACUAGUAUACGUAAUUUAUAGUUUACAUUUGUUUUUUGAAAUUUAUUGAUAUGUACAAAAAUUAUUUAUUUUAUCAAGCACACAUUUAUCUUUUAUAUAAGCUUGUCGUCGUAGAAACAAGAAAGAAGUAAUUAAAUUAUUUUUAUUUAUAAAUAUCUUUACCAAUUUUGUAUAUGCCAAAUUCUGGCCAACACCAGGGUCGGGAGAAUUUUAUUUGACGGAAAAGGUCCGCUAUAUUCGGUUGGGUCGAUUAAAUACUAACACAUCAUCAAUAAGUAAGGCGGUUUGUUUGGUUUGGAAGAAUUCACAUCACCAAAUUUUAUAACUGCAGUCAUAGUACAACGCGAGUAAAUUAAAAACAUGAUCGAAACCAAGUAAAAGCAUUACAAACUCCCGGGAAGUAAAAUUUUAACCGCUAUUUUGUUUAGUCAAAUAGCUCACACAGUGCCUGACGCUCAAAACUUAUUGUUAUACCAGUAUACUCCUUUGUUCUUCUCAUCUUCCUCGACGUAGACGCAAUCAUUAAGAGUAGUCCACAGUGACUUAUAGAAUGGGGUAAAAUCAUACUGAUAGUAGUCCCCCAAUAUUGGCUUAAAUGCUUUGGUGGCUUCCACUGCAUGGUAAUGUGGCAUUUUGGGGAAGAGAUGGUGCGCUACGUGAGUAUUCGGUUGCUGAUGAAACACCGUGUUGAGAAUUCCGAAAUCUCUGUCAAUGGUGGCCAUGGAUCCCUUUAGCCAUUCCCACUCGGAGUGAUCAUAGUAAGGUACCAGAGGGUUCGUGUGUUGAAGUACGGCCACUAUGAUAAGCAUGGCGUUUGUGAAAAGGUAUGGUCCUCCGUAGAUGAAAGCGGCCGAUGCGAACCCUUUUAACAUAGCAAGUUUGUAAACUGCAUAGAUCACGGCAAAACAUCCAGCAUCGGAAAGCAAGACUUGCGCGCGUUGUUUUCGUGAAAACAUUGGACUGUAUGGAUCAAAAUGUGAGGCAAAUCGAUCGUAAGUGCGACCACGGAAGUUGACAAGCAAGUAUAGAGGCACCGCAACAACUAAAACCAAGGCAAUAACCAAUACUCUUGCUACUGGAUUUUUGAGGUAUUUAAAGAUGAAUGAAACUUGAGACUUAAGCAGCGGGACAUCAAAUUCCUCUUCUUCUAGGGAUCCGGUUCUCGAGUGGUGGCGAUGGUGGCUGUACUUGAAUGAAAAGUAAGGAAACAGGACGACAGAGUGGGUGAUGAAUCCCACUGUGUCGUCGAGCCAUUGGUACUCACUGAAAGCGUUGUGUCCGCAUUCAUGACCUAUGACCCAAAAUCGGGCUAGAAUCAGACCUUGAAGCACCGAAUAUAUAAUCCCGGCUGUAACAAGAUAUAAUUUAGAAGACUGAACCAAUUCAGAGGUUAAGAUAUAGUUUGCGGCGAUGUGGUAAAGAGAGAAUAAGAUGAUGACAUCGAAGACAAGGUAUGACAAAGAGCGAAUAGCCGAACGCUCAAAGCAAUGAGGCGGAACUGCUUUCUUAACAUCGCUUAGAGUGAAGGGAGGUUUGACGUGAGGAGAUCUUGAUGCUCUUUUCACGGGAGAAUUCGAUUUUUGUUCCAUAUUUAUCUGCAAAAAUUGAAUUAGCUGUAAUUAAGUAAUCACAUUCCGAUAAUCAGAUAAAUAAACAUUUUGAAAGCAUAAAUAAUUAGCUAUCACUAAGAAAUGUACCUUGCUGCAGUGUCUUGACUCGGAAUUGUUGUGGUUAAUAUAUUUGAAAUCGGCUUGUAUAUAUAGGCACAUUAAAAUUACCUACCACUUUCCUGAUAGGCUGCAUAUAUUAUGGCUAAGGUCUAAGGAUGUCAAUGUUACAUGCAUCUUCUGGACGCCGCCAUUAAAAAGCAAAGCUGCAUACAAGAACAUCUGAUACAAAUAAGUACCGUAACCUUUUUUAUAUUUCUUGAAUGUCAUGCAAGUUGAAUAUUGUUUUGUUAACCUAGUUUCAUAAUUUGAUCAGCCUGUUUUUCAUAAUAUUUUAGUUCCCCACUUGGUUCACUAGCUCGCAUUGUGACGGUGAGUAGUAUUAUCUGUAAUUGCAAUCUCUUAGAAACCAAAGUAUACAUCAUACCACUGACUUUGUCCUUUUUAAUAAUCUCUUCCCAUUAUUUCCCAAUGAACAGUAAGAUAUAAUAUAUAUUCCUAUAUAAAAGUUAAAAUAAUGUGUAUUUUUUGAUUUUAAGGAUUGAAUCUUUAUGUUUUUCACAAAUUGUUAUUUAUAUUUUUCAUGCUAAAAACUAGUUUAUAGUUUAUUAUGUCAAGUGACAAUUACACAGUAUAUAUCAUAUAGAGAAUUCGGAAUAUAAUGUGUGUGUAUAUGUAUAUAUUUAUUUAUUGAUGAAACAUAAAGCUGGGUGUAGGACUAGGCAGCUUAAGCGCCUCCGAUCCAAAAAUUAUAAAUUUUUUAUAAUAAAUAUAAAAAUUAUACGCGUCAGAAAGAAUUAGUUAAUGUUUACAGAUGGGUUUUAACACGUAUAAUCUUAUAUUUGAUAUUAAAAAUUAUCAAUAUUUGAAAAAUAUUUUAUCUAAAUUUUUUUUUAUCAAACUUUUUAUCCGCCCUUGCUGGAUGCCGUGGUAUCAAUUGUCAAAUGUCAAAGGCACCUUACGGUCCUUACCUGUUCCUAUAGCUACAUUCUUUUGUCUAGGCAUACUUUGAUCAGUAUUUUAAUGCAAAAAACCAGAGAAUAAUAAUUCACACAUCACUGAAUGCUUUAAUAAUAGUCAUCAUCCAUCCGAUAUUGAUGGCUAAUUAAACUGUCGUCUAACUCGCAAGUGUGCAUUUCUGUUGACAACAGAAGAAAAUGACAAUCAUAAGUGGUUUUGUUGAAAUCUAUAUGCGUUAGAUAGUAGAAGAAAAUGACAAUCAUGAAUGACUUUGUUGAAUAUCUAUAUAUUUUUAGAAAAAUUAGCUUGCCAUCGUAUUAGACUUCUGUUUUGAUUUAUAGCUAUAAAGAAAAGAAUUUAAGCAUUGAAUAUGUGUAGAGUAACUUGCACGCUUUUCUGGCUCAAAAAGGUGUUAACAAGAGCUUCAUCAAAUUUUUUCAAAAAAAAAGAGAGCUUCAUCAAAUUUAAAAUAUUAAUAUUAGUAUGGGAAUUCAGAAAAAGUUAUUUAUCAUUUAAAAUAAUGAAAUAAAUUAUAAAUAAUAUGAUGGUCAUGAUUUAGAAGUUAUUAAAAAAUAACCUAUAAGUUAUUUAAGUAUUUAAAUAAUUUUUGUUAAUUUAAACGCUAGAUCGAAACAUAAAAAAACUAGUUUUUUCUGUUUUCUAAUUCUUCCCACAUAAUUUUUGUAAGUGUUUUUAUUUUUUAUUUUAUACAAAUGCGUCAAGAAAAACGAAAAUGAACUCAAAUAAAAGAAAAAUGAAUCUACUUUUUUGCGCAAACAAAUUAUAAAAAACCGACUUCUCUUGGGGAAAAAAAAAGCACGCCGGAUGCCCAAACAUGCCCGUACUGAUGCGUCAAUAAAUUAAACAAGGUGAUAUGAGGCCAGAAUUAAGAUGACAUGGAAGUACAGUGUCAACUAAAAAUAUUUAUUAUUCAAAUCUAUCAGGUUUCUUCUGAUAAUCUGAUUAUUUAUAAACAUUUAUAUAUAUUAUAUAUUUUAUUUCAAAAAUAAACUCUCGUAUUGAUUUCAAAGAUUUACUUAAAUUGAUACUGCAUAUUUUACUUAAAUAAUAUAAAGCUUAAUGAUCUUUUGGCCCUCGAAGUAUGGGUGGAAGUUCCGAUGCGGUCUCGAAGUUUAAAAACGUACCUUUCGACCCUCAAAGUAUCUUUGUCGUACCUUUUAGCCCCUUUUAAAGAUACCGGUAUAAAUCGGAGGAUAAACUUGACAAUUUAUAUUCGGGGUAAAGUUUGGGCGUACCUUUUAACCCUUAAAGUAUACAUCUCAUUCCUUUUAACCCCUAAAGAAUAUAUAAAAUACAUUAGAUGUUCCUUUUAACCCUUAAUGUUUAAUGCCCCUUUUAACCCUCACGUGUGAAAUGUCAACUUUGUCCACCCCGUUAUAUACUGGUAUACGCCGUAAAGGCUAAAAGGUACGACAAAUAUACUUUGAGGAUCGAAAGAUACGUUUUUAAAUUUCGUGGCCGCAUCGAAAUUUUCAUCCAAACUUCAAGUGUUAAAAGGUUAUUAAGCCAUAAUAUAAUGACACUAGUUCAAUCCUUUACGUAUAGAUUAAAAGUGACUACAAUAUCCCGGCAAAAAAAAUGUGACUGCAGUAUAAGUUAAUACAUAAAGUUCAAAACCCAAAUAAUAAAUCUAUGUACAUCAUUAACGAGAAAGAGUAAUAUUAGAACCGCGAUCCUGACCCAGAGGCAAGCAAUACGUACUUAAUAUUAUACGAAACAUUGUAACAUAGAGUGCGCAUGAAAUGGCUUUCAUGCCUGAGAUCCCACUUCAUAUAUUGUGCGAUGCUUAGGGUAGUCAUAUGGACGCAAUGUUCAUGUAAAUUUCUCGGAUAUAGCCCAAAUAGAGGGUCUUUCAUUAGUAUAUUCAGACUCGGCCCAAUAUUUGAGCCUAAUAUAUAUUUGAGCCCACGACAAACAAAGCCCAUUCACAAAAGGCCCGGGACCAUUAACAAAAAGAUAAGCAGCUUCUGACAAUGCCUAAUUAGCUAGCUCCGUUUCUGUGUAUUUGAUCAAAGAACAGUGUUUAUAACAAUCAUCAUGAUACAAUACAGGUAACUAAAAUUUUUCCAAAGAAAUAAAUAUAAUUAUCACCAUACAAGCUCCCUCACUAAUUUUUAAUUAUUAUUUUGUUUGUCAAAGGUGCCGAACUCUCAAUGCUCAAAACUUGUUGUUGUACCAAUAUAUCCCUUUGUUGUCUUCAUCUUCCUCAACGUAGACACAGUCAUUUAUGGUGUUCCAAAUUGACUUAUAGAAUGGAGUGAAAUCAUACUGAUAGUACUCCCCAAGCACAGGUUUAAAUGCCUUGGUGGCUUCCACCGCAUGGUAAUGUGGCAUCUUCGGGAAGAGAUGGUGCGCUACGUGAGUAUUCGGCUGCUGAUGAAACACCGUGUUGAGAAAUCCGAAAUCUCUAUCGAUGGUAGCCAUGGAUCCCUUCAGCCAUUCCCACUCGGAGUGAUCAUAGUAAGGUACGAGAGGGUUCGUGUGUUGAAGUACGGCCACUAUGAUAAGCAUGGCAUUUGUGAAUAGGUAUGGUCCUCCGUAAAUGAAAGCCACCCAUGCGAAUCCUUUUAGCAAAGCGAGUUUGUAUAGUGUAAAGAUCACGGCCAAACAUCCAGCAUCCGAAAGCAAGACGAGAGCGCGUUGCUUGCGUGAGAACAUUGGGCUAUACGGAUCAAAAUGGGAGGCGAAUCGAUCGUAAACUCGACCGCGGAAGUUGACAAGAAGGUACAGAGGCACCGCAACAGCUAGAACUGCAGCAACAACGAAGAAUCGCGCUACAGGAUUUUUGAGGUGUCUGAAGAGCAAUGGAACUUGGGACUUGAGCAGCGGGAUGUCAAAUUCUUCUUCUUCGAGGGAUCCGGUUCUCGAGUGGUGUCGAUGGUGGCUGUACUUGAAUGAAAAGUAAGGGAACAGAACGACAGAGUGGGUGACGAAUCCCACUGUGUCGUCGAGCCAUUUGUAGUCACUAAAAGCGUUGUGUCCGCAUUCGUGACCUAUGACCCAAAAUCGGGCCAGGAUACAGCCUUGUAGCACCGAAUAAAUAAUCCCGGACAUAAAAAGGUACAAUUUCGAUGAUUGUACUAAUUCGGAGGUUAAGAUAUAGUUUGCGGCGAUGUGGUAAAGAGAGAAUAAGAUGAUGACAUCGAAGACAAGGUAUGACAAAGAGCGAAUGGCCGAACGCUCAAAGCAAUGAGGCGGAACUGCUUUCUUAACAUCGCUUAAAGUGAAUGGAGGUUUUACGUGGGGAGAUCUUGAGGCUCUUUUCACAGUAGAACUCAUCUCUUGUUCAGUCUUCAAUAGAAUGCGCUUCUUAAAGGAUGUGGAUUAUUGUUGUGAUAAUUGGAGAGGCGAUGUGGCUGCUAUAUAUAGGCAUGUUAAGGCACCAACUCCUCUAUCUAAUUAGCUGAAUGUGGAGAAAGUAAUUUCCGAGAAAGCAAGAUAAAUUUAAAUAUGUUUAAGCCGUCAUUAAUCUAACAUUUACUGGUAGUUUAUGUCUAUUGCUGUGGACUAAGAGAUAUGCUGCAUUUAGGCUCCGCUGUUAUUCAAAUAUGAUUGCUCUAAUAUAUGGGACCUACUCUUUGGUUUGUAGUUGAAUAAGAGGAAUGAGAUAGACUAAUAGUAGUGCAGUUACUGGAACGUUGGCCUAAUUCUCUAACCUCAUGCAAUUGUGAGCUUCGACUAAUAAAACGAGGGAAAACUAUUACUCUCAGGACUUUAAGUGCUUUAAUCCGGCGGCAGUUAAAAAUUUUAUUUUUUAAUUAUUUUUAAUAAACAAUUGUAAGUAAAUUUUUUAAUUCGUAUAGUGUUUGUAUUAUAUAAACUUUUUGUUUUUAAAAUUUUUGAAAUAUAAAUAAUUUAAAUAGACAUUCAAAAACGAAAGUGUGUAAAAAAGAUGAUGGAACGUAGCGAGUAUUACAAUGGUGCAGUUACUUGAACGUUGGCCUAAUUAUAGCUCAGGCAAUUGUGAACUUCGACCAAUAAUUGUAUACAGAAUUAUAUACAUAAUGACAUGUGGGAGGUUUUAAUUGAAAUGGGCCUCCUGUAUUCACAUCAACCACCCCAGUUAAAACCCUCCCCCUCAAUUGCCACAUCAUUAUGUACAAGUUUUAUGUACACAAUUAUGUGCACCUAGCACUACUCUAAUAGUAUACAGACGAGAGAACUGUUACAUGAACAUGGACCUUAAACAAAUUUACCUCUUGAUAUUUAGUAUAUAUUUAUUUAAAUUAUAAAUGAAAUUUAGAUUUCACUUAAUUAACAAAAGUAUAAACUAUAUUUAAUAAAUCAAAUUCAAAUCCGGCCUAAAUUAUUGUAUUUCAUUUUCAAUGCAUUUCAUCUCAAUCAUUAUUUUCACAUUUUGUUUGAUCAUCAUCUCAUAAUUUGGUUAUCAUUAUCAUCUGGGGUGUGGUUGUGAUUUAUCAUUAUCUUCUUUAGAAUUUCAAAAUUGUCUAUAUGCAACGUCUAUUAUUGUUAAUGCCCUAUUAACUUAUAUUUUAUUCUUAUAUAUAUAUAUAUAUAUAUAUAUAUAUAUAUAAACUUUUUUUUUGUAAAUAUUAAAUAUUAAAAAUCUCAUAAAUAUUUAAUUUUAAAUAUACCAUAUUCAUAAAAAAGAUUUCAAAAUAAAUCUUUACUUCUAUAUCUUGAACUUUUGGCAUGCGCCCACUAUGUUAUCAAUCAGUUUUUCAAGGUUGACUCUUAGAUAAAUUACUCUGUAUUUUGUAAUAUACAUAAAUUACUUUAAUAUAGUGAUGUGAGACUAAUUUAUUCAAAAAUUUGAAGCAUGAAUAUUAAGAGUAUACUUAAUGUUGAUCUGCACCUGACCUUUAUAAUUUAUAUAUAUAUUUUUUAAACUCGUUCUUACAUUUAUAAAUAUAAAUAUUAUCGAAACAUAUAUCAAUCACUACAUCUAUUUACUUUCGAAAAACUUGCAUGCAUAUUCUAAAAAGCAUACACCCCAGUUGCAGCUGUUUAAAAUAAAUUAUGGGAUAAAAUUAUUCCAAAAACCAGUCCACGCUCCACGGAGUUCAUCAUCCACAAGCAUCCCAAUUCAUUUUAAUCAUACUUGUAUAUAUAAACUCAGAGUAUAGUUCUACUGUAUUUAAGUGUAUAUAUCUAAAAUAUCAAGUAUACCAAAGAUUAGCACAGAAGUAGAUGUAGAAUGCAAUUGAACUUUAACACAUCUCCAAAUUCUUUGAUUAUUGCAAUAAUUUAUUAUACUAAUAUACAAAUUAAAGCUAGCUACUUUAGUGUCUAAAAAUAGCAUCAAUGAAUAUAACUGUAAAACAAAUCACAAUACAGUGCAAGUAAAAGCUUCAAAAAAGAAGCAGCUAUUUAUGGGACAAGCUUCCAGGCCGACUUUACUCUCUGGUUUUUAUUUUUUGCUAGUCAAGAAGCUCAAACACCAUACACUUGAUAAUUCAACUUAAAACUUGUUGUUAUACCAGUAUAUUCCUUUGUUCUGCGUAUCUUCCUCAACGUAGACACAAUCGUUUAUGGUAUUCCACAGUGACUUGUAGAAUGGGGUGAAAUCAUACUGAUAGUACUCGCCCAAUAUUGGCUUAAAUGCUUUGGUGGCUUCCACUGCAUGGUAAUGCGGCAUCUUCGGGAAGAGAUGGUGAGCUACGUGAGUAUUCGGCUGCUGAUGAAACACCGUGUUGAGGAAUCCGAAAUCUCUGUCAAUGGUAGCCAUAGAGCCCUUUAGCCAUUCCCACUCGGAGUGAUCAUAGUAAGGUACGAGAGGGUUCGUGUGUUGAAGUACGGCCACUAUAAUAAGCAUGGCAUUUGUGAAUAGGUAUGGUCCUCCGUAGAUGAAAGCGACCCAUGCGAAUCCUUUUAGCAAAGCAAGUUUGUAUAGUGCAAAGAUCACGGCCAAACAUCCAGCAUCAGAGAGCAGGACUAGAGCGCGUUGCUUACGCGAAAACAUUGGGCUAUACGGAUCAAAAUGGGAGGCGAAUCGAUCAUAAACUCGACCACGGAAGUUGACAAGAAGGUAUAGAGGCACUGCAACAGCUAGAACAGCACCAACAACCAAGACUCUCGCUACUGGAUUUUUGAGGUGUCGGAAAAGAAAGGGAACUUGGGACUUGAGCAGUGGGAUAUCAAAUUCUUCUUCCUCGAGCGAUCCAGUUCUCGAGUGGUGCCGAUGGUGGCUGUACUUAAACG
rnacentral:lncRNA from 1 species